GAGGUUCCUUCGAAAUCCUUGGGCUUACUUUACCCCCUCUCUCUCUCGCUGAGCUCCUUGAUUCUUUUCUACUGUUGCCUAGUCUCCUCUCUGACUUGACCGUCGGAGGGUCCCCACCGGAGUCACCUCCGGUCAGUGCGGACUUCUUUUGCAGGUGCUCGUUCCCGACGACCAGACGAUGAGGGGAUUGGCCGCAACAGGUUUGGCACGCUAGGUAGGGGGGACGACAG
rnacentral:lncRNA from 1 species